rnacentral:rRNA from 1 species
AGAGUUUGAUCCUGGCUCAGAAUCAACGCUGGCGGCGCGCUUAACACAUGCAAGUCGAACGAGAAAGUUCCCUUCGGGGAGCGAGUAAAGUGGCGGACGGGUGAGUAACACGUGGGUUAUCUGCCCUUGAGUGGGGAAUAACUCUGGGAAACCGGAGCUAAUACCGCAUACGAUCCUUCGGGAUGAAAGCUUUAUGCGCUCAAGGAUGAGCCCGCGGUCGAUUAGCUAGUUGGUGGGGUAAUGGCUCACCAAGGCUACGAUCGAUAGCCGGCCUGAGAGGGCACACGGCCACACUGGCACUGAGACACGGGCCAGACUCCUACGGGAGGCAGCAGUGGGGAAUCUUGGUCAAUGGGGGAAACCCUGAACCAGCGACGCCGCGUGACCGAUGAAGGCCCUCGGGUCGUAAAGGUCUUUCGACGGGGACUAUAAUGAAGGUACCCGUAAAAGCAGGAGCGGCUAACUAUGUGCCAGCAGCCGCGGUAAUACAUAGGCUCCAAGCGUUGUUCGGAAUUACUGGGCGUAAAGCGAGUGUAGGCUGUCCGCCAAGUCGAUUGUGAAAUCUCCCGGCUCAACUGGGAGGGUGCGGUCGAAACUGGCGGACUAGAGUUCGGGAGAGGAGAGUGGAAUUCCUGGUGUAGCGGUGAAAUGCGUAGAUAUCAGGAGGAACACCGGCGGUGAAGACGGCUCUCUGGACCGAUACUGACGCUGAGACUCGAAAGCGUGGGGAGCAAACAGGAUUAGAUACCCUGGGUAGUCCACGCCCUAAACGAUGCGUACUUGGGUGUAGUGCUUCAUUGCAUCUGUGCCGAAGUUAACACGAUAAGUACGCCGCCUGGGGAGUACGGUCGCAAGGCUGAAACUCAAUGAAUUGACGG